AUUGAACGCUGGCGGCAGGCCUAACACAUGCAAGUCGAGCGGAUGAAGGGAGCUUGCUCCUGGAUUCAGCGGCGGACGGGUGAGUAAUGCCUAGGAAUCUGCCUGGUAGUGGGGGAUAACGUCCGGAAACGGGCGCUAAUACCGCAUACGUCCUGAGGGAGAAAGUGGGGGAUCUUCGGACCUCACGCUAUCAGAUGAGCCUAGGUCGGAUUAGCUAGUUGGUGGGGUAAAGGCCUACCAAGGCGACGAUCCGUAACUGGUCUGAGAGGAUGAUCGGUCACACUGGAACUGAGACACGGUCCAGACUCCGACGGGAGGCAGCAGUGGGGAAUAUUGGACAAUGGGCGAAAGCCUGAUCCAGCCAUGCCGCGUGUGUGAAGAAGGUCUUCGGAUUGUAAAGCACUUUAAGUUGGGAGGAAGGGCAGUAAGUUAAUACCUUGCUGUUUUGACGUUACCAACAGAAUAAGCACCGGCUAACUUCGUG
rnacentral:rRNA from 1 species